GACUAUGUCAAGGGAUGAUAGAACUAACUUAGUAGUAGCAAGUGUGUGAUGACAAGUUCCUCAUUCUAAUCACUACCUACACACACAGAGACCUCUACCUAAUUGGGGUUCCAAAUCAGACUAUAAAACCAAUUUGAGAGAGAGUGAGAUUCCACUGCAAGAGAAGAAAUAAAGUUUCAAGUUUUCUGUGUAUUAUAAAAAGAAAAACAAGUGUUGAUCAAACGAGGCAUGAUGGGAGCAGGGCAAGAGGUCCAGGCUGGUCAUGGCAGUAAAUAACGAGCAUAGGAAAGUGAGAAACUAUCUUUGGUUAUAUAUGCAUCUGCGAUGGAUAGAUGGAUAGAUUAAUGGAUGAAUGUCUGCCACUGCUCUUGAUUCUUCUUCCCCCGCCAUGCAGCCGACUGGUUGACUUCAAAAUCAUCCAUCCCAUGCAGAAGGAAGCUACAACUAGUUAGUAACUCAGCAAUCAAAGCCCAGACUCUUUCUUUAGUGAUAGUGAGAAAAGGAAAGAGCUCUCUCUCGCUCUCUCCAAUAAACCCCUAAAAUCCUACUGCACGUGCGUGUGCUCAGGUGGGGUGAGUCCCGUCUUUCACAAACCAGAUCCAAUUAAAAUAUUUCAUCCCUAUCAAAUUCUCGACUGCGCA
rnacentral:lncRNA from 1 species